rnacentral:rRNA from 1 species
UACGUAGGGGGCAAGCGUUGUCCGGAAUUACUGGGCGUAAAGGGCGCGUAGGCGGCCGAUCAAGUCAGAUGUGAAAGUCCUGGGCUUAACCUGGGGACUGCAUUUGAUACUGAUUGGCUUGAAUGCAGGAGAGGAUAGCGGAAUUCCCAGUGUAGAGGUGAAAUUCGUAGAUAUUGGGAAGAACACCGGUGGCGAAGGCGGCUAUCUGGACUGUGAUUGACGCUGAGGCGCGAAAGCGUGGGGAGCAAACAGG